GUGCCAGCCGCCGCGGUAAUACCGGCAGCUCGAGUGAUGUCCCAUAUUAUUGGGCCUAAAGCGUCCGUAGAUGGCCGCGCAAGUCCGUCGGGAAAUCCACCUGCCCAACAGGUGGGCGUCCGGCGGAAACUGUUUGGCUUGGGGCCGGAAGACUCGAGGGGUACGUCCGGGGUAGGAGUGAAAUCCCGUAAUCCCGCACGGACCACCGAUGGCGAAAGCACUUCGAGAAAACGGAUCCGACAGUGAGGGACGAAAGCCAGGGUCUCCAACCGGAUUAGAUACCCUGGUAGUCC
rnacentral:rRNA from 1 species